GGGUAACAUUGAAAAGUUUAGAUGUUUCCUGAUUCACGCUUCCAACAAAAAACUUCUGCAAUUUCCUGCUUGUAGUUCUCGAGCAAGAUCUGCAAGUCUCAAAUAGCCAGAUACAUGA
rnacentral:snoRNA from 1 species